AGGGGUCAUUUAGCUGGAGGGGGUGUCUCUCUCUCUCUCUGUGUGUUUGUAGUCUCUCGAUGGAGAGGGGUCAUUUAGCUGGAGGGGGGGUCUCUCUCUCUCUCUGUGUGUUUGUAGUCUCUCGAUGGAGAGGGGUCAUUUAGCUGGAGGGGGUCUCUCUCUCUCUCUCUGUGUGUUUGGGGUCUCUCUCUCUCUCUGUGUGUGUUUGUAGUCUCUCGAUGGAGAGGGGUCAUUUAGCUGGAGGGGGUCUCCCUCUCUCUUUGUGUGUUUGCAGUCUUCAGUGUGCGAAAUGUAACCACACUUAAACACACUUAAAUGCUGAACACGCAGAUGUUGGGGUACUCACCAACCGGUCGAAGCAACCGGGAGAAGCUGGAUCAGGGUAGAGGGCCAGAACAAACCCUGGUCACGCCAAACACCAGGUUGAAUAAAGGUAAGCUAAGAGGUAUCAAGAGCAGUUAGAGAAAGUAUUUAAUAGGGUUAAAACAAAAGGCAGAAAGGCCUCGACAGCGGGGCUCCGGCGGGAGACAAUCGCGGGCAACAAUCCCUUUCUCCUCCAUGUCGUGGUUCAGUCCACUUCAGAUUGAUAGGUUGAUGUGGACGUGGAAGAACCAGAGACGUCGGAGAACCCGACGCAGUCGUUAGAGAUUAAUUAUAUUGUCUGGAGGCGCAAACAGCUUUUGGCGGUGAUAAUAUAUUUUAUAUGAUAUAGAUAUCUACGUCUAAUGUCAUAUUAUUUAGAUAUAGAGCUCCAGGACUCCCGCCGGAGCACCCAGAGUUGUCUAGAACAUUUACAGACCACAGGCAUUGGCACUUGGUUCUAUGAACAUCCUAACUGUACCAGCAGAGAUUUAUUGUUGUCUUUCUUCUUUGACUUAUUGUAGGCGUCUGCUAAACGCCCUAAAUGUGAAAUGUAAAUGUCGCAGCAAAGUUCAGAAGCGCAGGAAAGGGGCCUAUUCGGGAUAUUGAACCGUCGGCAUAGUGGCAUGUCGAUCUAAUGGGAAAUAUUUCGGACCACUGAGACGUCGGAACAAUGAGGCGUCGGAAUUACGGCAUGGCACCUUAUCUGGUGUUCCCUGAGGGUCACUGCAGUGGAACUAAUUACAGUAAUGCUCAACGUCUAACGGGGAGCGGACUUCAACUAAAAUCACAAUGUUGCAUUUCAACUUGCAUGUGGCUCAAAAUGUGCGG
ensembl:lncRNA